AUCCUGAUGUGAUAACUUCUAAUUGUUCUGAGCAGUGUUGGCAAGGGGAUAAAGCUUUAAGAUUAAAUGAGUGCAUUGUUAAGGCUCCCUUAUCUCAGUAAAUUCAUCGCUCAAAAGAUUGCGUUGCAGGUUAGAUCAUUCCGAGAAUUUCAAGAGCUUCACUUGGAAGAACGUCUUCAACUCCUCCGGGGGUUGCUGGUUUGUCGGAGAGCAAUGUUGUAGACAUCGAGAAGGUGUAUAAAAAUCAUACCUUCUUUGAAAGUAGGAGUCACGUGCAAAACAGAAGGUGAUAGUUCAAGCUUGGAUCACUCUAAAACUUUUCAAUUGACUCUUAGGCGCUAUUCCUCCCUCUCCUUACCACAAAGAGAAAGGCUUAUGGGCUCUUCUUGCGGAUUCAAACAAUGUAUGGCUCUUUCAAAAGGUUAGUUUCAUGGAUGGAGCUGAAGCUAUACUCGUCUUCAACUGAUGUUUGUUAGACAUUGAAAAGUUUAGGAGCAAACGUCGAGGCAAAGAACAAUGAAGUUAGAGAAGGUUAAAAGCCGAUCAAGAUUGGAAACGGGGAAACGCUAAAAAACUUGCAGAAGAUACUAAUAAUUUGACUUGCUUAUGAGUUUGGCGUAAGAGAUGGUUGGAUCAGUUGUGAUCAAAAGACAUUACUUAAAGUUGAGGUUUUGAAAAGAACCAGUGAUUUGGAGGGUGAGGUUACAGAAGAAGGCAUGGAGGAGGAAGAAGAAAAUGAGAAUGAAGAGAAUUAUGAAAGCAAAUAUAGUGAGGAAGAGGAAGAUAAGAAGAAAGGAUCAAAGAGAGUAAAAAAGAUGGGAUCAGAUGAAGAUUGAAAAACAAAAAGGCGUCAAACCUGCACUGUGUAGGUUUUUGCCUCCAAAAUUUACAGUGAUACUCAAUGACUUUAGCCUGUUAUUUGUUCUUCCGCUGAUUUCGUAGACGUUUUGGAUUUUGAUGGUUUUGGACUUUUGUUAACUCUUUAAUUUAUGUCUUGAUCCAACUCUUCUAAGCUUUACUGUAAAAUUAUGCUUCCUGUUUCGGUUAUUUACCUGGCUUUGGAUGUGUUUUAAAGGUUUUA